GCCAGAUGUGGUGGUGCACUCCUGUAAUCCAGCUACUCAGGAGGCUGAGGCAGGAGGAUUGCUUGAGCCCAGGAGAUCAAGGCUGCAGUGAACCAAGAUUGCACCACUGCACUCCAGCCUGGGUAAAAGAGCAAGACCUUGUCUCAA
ensembl:misc_RNA Metazoa_SRP Metazoan signal recognition particle RNA